UAGCGGCGGACGGGUGAGUAACGCGUGAGCAACCUUUCUUCAACAGGGGGAUAAGACGACGAAAGACGUUCUAAUACCGCAUAAGACCACAGAGUGACAUCGCUCAGGGGUCAAAGGAGCAAUCCGGUUGAAGGUGGGCUCGCGUCUGAUUAGAUAGUUGGUGAGGUAACGGCCCACCAAGGCGACGAUCCAUAGCCGACCUGAGAGGGUGACCGGCCACAUUGGGACUGAGAUACGGCCCAGACUCCUACGGGAGGCAGCAGUGGGGAAUCUUGGACAAUGGGCGCAAGCCUGAUCCAGCCAUGCCGCGUGAGUGAUGAAGGCCUUAGGGUCGUAAAGCUCUUUCGCCAGAGAUGAUAAUGACAGUAUCUGGUAAAGAAACCCCGGCUAACUCCGUGCCAGCAGCCGCGGUAAUACGGAGGAUGCAAGCGUUAUCCGG
rnacentral:rRNA from 1 species